UAUUUGAUUUUUUUCACGCCGAAACAUAACCAAGCAAACAGUGAUAAAGUGAAGAACGCGGAACUGAACAUAAUCAAGUUAAGUGUGAGAUAUAGUGAGCGCGUCUGAUCAAUACCGUUGUUUUGUUUUGCUUUUUAUUUUUCGUAUCAAUUUUUCGUGAAAAUGUCGCAAGAAGAGGACAAAAAAUUAUUAGAAGAUUUGGAAGCAUUAAAACAGAAAUUGAAUGGUUCAUCAAUUAAAGAUGUACUUAUUCCUGCUUUGGAUGAAAUGAUUGCCGCUUUGGACGAUACUUCGAAUUCCACAACAUCUUCUUCAAGUACGGCUUCAUCUUCUGAGGCACAGCUCUCUACUUCGAAUCAAGUACCAAAUAGUCCAGAAAAUGUUUUAAAUCCCAACCCGAGCCAAUCGAUUGAAUGUGAAGUAUGCCAUUAUUCAUAUUCAAACCUUCAAUAUCUUAAAAAUCAUCAAAGGGUCUUUGAAAAUAAAAAGAUUUGUUGCGUUUGCAAAAAACUAUUUGAAAGCGCGGAUAGUCUUAACAAACAUAUGGAGCUAUUUGGAAAAAAAUUCACUUGCUGCAUAUGUAGAAGAAAAAGAGAUGAUUCGGAUGCAUACAAAUUUUAUUCUCAUAUUGGCAACUGCAAGCGACUAAGGCGACUAUCAUUACAUUGAACGGCACAUAUAAGAACAAAAACUGAACACAUGACAAACAGGUGACAAAUUUCGCCCGUGCAAGAUUGGUUUAAUCAUUACUAACAACUAUUCGGCGAUUCUAUUGCGAUACAAUUGGAGUUCUUCAAAUGAUCGAUGACAAUCCACCAUAAGAGAAAAAGACGACUUUGAAAUGUCAUUCAAAAACAUCAUUACAUUCACAGUUAUACAAAGAUCACAAUUGCUGGCAUAACCGGUUAAAUUGAAGCGAAUCGAGUACCAAUAACUAGAUAAAAAGCAUCGAUCAUCACGGAGAAACAUUCGAACAAAGAAGCAAAAGAUUCCAAAUAGAUUGAUAUACAAUUUUUUAUUCACAUUUUGAUAUGUAAAAUUGAAAACAAAGUAUGCUGCAAAUAAAUGAAAUCAUAAUAGUUUUUCACGAAACAAAUCCCAAGUUUUUGUUUAUUUGAAAAAAAAAAAAAAAUGUGAAAACUUUUAAGGGGCGUAAUGAAAUGGACAGAAGUUGAAAUAAUGGCGCUACAUACGGCUACAUACAAAACGAAUUCGUUUCAACGUCAAUUUAUUCGCGCCAUGACAGAAUUGAACAUAACCAAGUAAAGAGUGAAAUAUAGUGAGCACGUCUCAUCGAUACCGUUGUUUUGUAUUUUAUUUAUUUUUCGUAUCAAUUUGUGGUGAAAAUGUCGCAAGAAGAGGACAACAAAUUAUUAGAAGAUGUGGAAGCCAAUGUUAAAGGGAAAUCGAAACGUGCAUCAAAUAAACGUGGAUUUAUAUAUAUGUUGGAAAAAGUACUCGCCGUUAUGGACGAUAGUGAAACUCCAUCAAUAACUGAUUCAAGUACGGCUUCAUCUCUUGAAGAACCUUCAUCUUCUGAAACACAGCCUUCAUCUCCUGAACGAUGGAUUAGAUGUGAAGCCUGCCAAUCUAAGUUACAGCAUUCAUUGCCUGAACCACAGCCUUCAUUGCCUGAACCACAGCCUUCAUUGCCUGAACCACAGCCUUCUACAUCGAAUCAAACACCAAAUAUCCCAGAACACAAUCCCAACUCGAGCCGAUCGAUUAAAUGUGAAGUUUGCCAUUCAAAAUUCGCAAACCUCAAAAAUCUUAAAAGUCAUCAAACGGAAUGCGAAAAUAAAAAGAUGUGUUGCGUUUGCCGACAACAGUUUAUUGACGUUGAUAGUCUUAACGAACAUACUGAGCAGUUUGCAAGAGAAUUGAAAUGCUGCAUGUGUGAAAGAAAAGGAGAUGAAUCGGAUGCAAACAAAUUUUGUUCUCAUAGUUACCAAUGCAAGCGACAAAGUCAGAUUUCGUCAUCAUCAUCAUCAUCACAAUGAACAGAACAUAAAACAACAAAAACUGAACACAUGACAAACAGGUGACAAACUGUGCCUGUGCAAAAAUUGGUUUAAUCAUUACUGACAACUUUCGGCGAUUCUGUUGCGAUACAAUUGGAGUAUUUUAAAUGAUCGAUGACAAUCCACCGGAAUGAGAAAAAGGGACGACUCUUAAAUGUCAUUCAGAAACAUUCACAGUUAUACAAAGAUCACAGUUGCUGGCAUAACCGGUUAAAUUGAAGCGAAUCGAGUACCAAUAACUAGAUAAAAAGCAUCGAUCAUUACGGAGAAACAUUCGAACAAAGAAGCAACAGAUUCCAAAUAGAUUGAUAUACAAAAUUUUAUUCGCAUUUUGAUAUGUAAAAUUGAAAGCAAAAUAUGCUGUAAAUAAAUGAAAUUAUAAUAAUUUUUCACGAAACAAA